GCUGCAGGCGACCAGGUUACCUGAGGGCGAGCGGCGCGCACAGGUGCUCGCAGACAGGCGAGUCGGGGUCGUCCGAUCUGCAGACCCUGGUGUCAGUGGUGUCCCUGGCUCCUCCAGCCCGUCCCACAUCAAGCUCCCCAGGCAAGCAUCCGCCGGUUCCUCUCUGGAUGAAAGCUGCUCACCGUAGCCCUCAUGGCUUAGUCCGAAUCCCUGUCUUCCACUCGCUACGGAUUCCGAACUGCAACAGAAGCCAGGCACAACCGCCGCUUUCCGCGCGCCCUAGAGCCCCCAGACCUGCGACCUGCGACCCGCGACCCGAGACCUGCGACCCGGGGACCCGAGACCCGAGACCUGCGACCUGGGGACCCGCGACCCGGGGACCCGGCGACCAGACCCGCGGCCACCCCUGCCCUGUUCCAAGUGUCAGCGACCCCCUUCCCUCGCUCCCGGGCCGCGAGCUCUUGAGACCAUGUCGAACUUGGAGAAACAGUUAUUUAAUUUGAAGCUUGCUGCACAAGAACUUAAAAGGAAUGCCAAGAAAUGUGAUGAAGAAGUAACAGCUGAAAAGGAAGAGAUAAAAAUGAGCCAAGUGGAUAUGCUGCUUCAGGAAUUGGCAGAUGAAGUUGGCCUUGAUCUCAGUGUGGAGCUUCCACAGGUUCAGAUAGGGUCUGCUGAUGCAAGUUUUGCUUCUAUGGAGCAGCCUUUGAUUUGUCAGUUUGGCCUCUUCAAGGAUGUGCUGUCACAGGCUUGCUCAUCUUCAAGAUCAAGUGUAAUUUGAACAGUUGGUGCUUCUGUUUGCUCCACACGUGUCUGAAACCUCCUUUGUGUCUACAUAUGUAAAGUUGCACUCUACCUAGAGAAGCCCCAUACAUGCCGGAAUGUUUGAAUAUUAUUCAUAUAUGUCUUCUUUUGCCUUUUGUAUUUUGCAGUACAUUAAGGAAUUCCUGGGAAUUUCUACAUUGUCAGACUCUAUAGUUCUGUAUAUUAUGUGCAAAGGUAUAUGGGGAUAUUUUUUCAGAUAUCUUUGAAAAAGCUAGCAUUACUUUUCUGUAUAUUAUACAUCUUCCUCAAAUAUUAGAGCAAACAUCUAGCACCAAACUACUAACUACUAUGAAGGAAUGUAAUUUUGUCAGAAUAAAGGCUGUUUUUUAAUUGUAAGGAAUUUUCAGUCAUUGUCUUGAUAAAAUAUGAUUUUGUAAAAAUAAAAACAGAAAAAGCA